GGGAGGCAGCAGUGAGGAAUAUUGGACAAUGGAGGCAACUCUGAUCCAGCCAUGCCGCGUGCAGGAAGACGGCCCUAUGGGUUGUAAACUGCUUUUAUACAGGAAGAAACACUGCUACGAGUAGCAGCUUGACGGUACUGUAAGAAUAAGGACCGGCUAACUCCGUGCCAGCAGCCGGGGUAAUACGGAGGGUCCGAGCGUUAUCCGGAAUCAUUGGGUUUAAAGGGUCCGCAGGCGGUCAAUUAAGUCAGAGGUGAAAUCCCAUAGCUUAACUAUGGAACUGCCUUUGAUACUGGUUGACUUGAGUCAUAUGGAAGUAGAUAGAAUGUGUAGUGUAGCGGUGAAAUGCAUAGAUAUUACACAGAAUACCGAUUGCGAAGGCAGUCUACUACGUAUGUACUGACGCUCAUGGACGAAAGCGUGGGGAGCGAACAGGAUUAGAUACCCUGGUAGUCCACGCCGUAAACGAUGGAUACUAGUUGUUGGGAUUUAUCUCAGUGACUAAGCGAAAGUGAUAAGUAUCCCACCCUGGGGAGUAACGGUCGCAAGACUGAAACUCAAA
rnacentral:rRNA from 1 species